rnacentral:rRNA from 1 species
CCUACGGGGCGCAGCAGUGGGGAAUAUUGCGCAAUGGGCGAAAGCCUGACGCAGCGACGCCGCGUGAGGGAUGAAGGUCUUCGGAUCGUAAACCUCUGUCAGCAGGGAAGAACGGUCACUGUGCUAAUCAGCAGUGAAUUGACGGUACCUGCAAAGGAAGCACCGGCUAACUCCGUGCCAGCAGCCGCGGUAAUCCGGAGGGUGCGAGCGCUAAUCGGAAUUACUGGGCGGAAAGCGCUCGUAGGCGGUAUGUCAAGUCAAGGGUGAAAUCCCCGGGCUCAACGUGGGAACUGCCUUUGAAACUGGCAAACUGGAGUGUGUGAGAGGAUAGUGGAAUUCCAGGUGUAGGAGUGAAAUCCAUAGAUAUCUGGAGGAACAUCAGUGGCGAAGGCGACUAUCUGGCACAUAACUGACGCUGAGGAGCGAAAGCGUGGGUAGCAAACAGGAUUAGAUACCCCAGUAGUC